rnacentral:rRNA from 1 species
AGCGAACGCUGGCGGCAGGCUUAACACAUGCAAGUCGAACGGGCGUAGCAAUACGUCAGUGGCAGACGGGUGAGUAACGCGUGGGAACGUACCUUUUGGUUCGGAACAACACAGGGAAACUUGUGCUAAUACCGGAUAAGCCCUUACGGGGAAAGAUUUAUCGUCGAAAGAUCGGCCCGCGUCUGAUUAGCUAGUUGGUGAGGUAAUGGCUCACCAAGGCGACGAUCAGUAGCUGGUCUGAGAGGAUGAUCAGCCACACUGGGACUGAGACACGGCCCAGACUCCUACGGGAGCAGCAGUGGGGAAUAUUGGACAAUGGGGGCAACCCUGAUCCAGCCAUGCCGCGUGAGUGAUGAAGGCCCUAGGGUUGUAAAGCUCUUUUGUGCGGGAAGAUAAUGACGGUACGCAAGAAUAAGCCCGGCUAACUUCGUGCCAGCAGCCGCGGUAAAGUGUGACU